CCAUGUUACAUUCCUACCAGCAAUGUAUGAGGAGAGAAGCCCCAAGCAGAGAGAGCUAAGGUGCAGGAGGUCGACCAGUUGCCGCAAAGCCAGAGUUCAACCAGCUUACAAUAUAACAGAUCCUUCUUCAGACACUGCAUCUGCCUUCCAGACAGAAAGGAAGAGUGAGCGAAAUGGACAAUGGGCAUCUCUUCUCAAGGACUUCCAUCAACAUUUCUUUGAACUUUGUCAUGUGGCCAC